AUUUGCUCAGCACAAACGAAACAGAGGCUGAGAGACAGACCCUCUCUGUGAAGAGGGACUCGCCUGAGGAUUUAAUUAAUCGCAGAGAGAUUUCAGGAAGAGGUGUCUCCCAGUCUGAGCAGAGCCAGCUUUUCUAUCUCCUGCAUGCUCCUGUUACUGCCUGCCCGCAUGGGUGUGUCCUCAUGACGGCCUCAUUCCUGAUCAAAGCUUGUGUUUAUCGUGCUGGAGACAACAGCCUGAGACUGCUCUUAACUCAGAGGGGCCCUGCAGGAUGGAGGAAAGAAACCUCAGGGUUACACUGCCGGAUCUGUUCUUUUUAACACUGUGGCCUGGGGCAAGUCAUUUCACAUGUCUGGCUCGAUUACAACUUCUGGAAAAUGACUGGCUUGCACCAGAUCAUCUCCAGGGCCCCUUCCAGCUCAAACAGGGUUCUCAGUGCAGAUCCUGAGGAGGGGCCGGUCUGCGCUCCCAAUGCUGCGGCCACACAAGCCCUCGCCCUCCCGAGGUGGAGACCACAGCCUCUGGGACGCACGCCACUGGACCAGAGCCACGCCCCGCUCCUUUCCAGGAAAGAGCAUGGCAGCAGAGGGGCUCAGAACGGCUGCUGACAGAGCAGCUCAGGAGGCACAGCGCCGACUGAGCCUGACCUUGGCUCUGCCUCUGCUCGUUGUGUUGACGUUCCCAAAACCAGCUCAAGCCCCUUCUUCUCCAUGAAGUCCUUCAGGAGUCCACCAUGAACCAACAGCCCACCAUGAACUCUCCCUUUAUUCACACCCUUCAUUCCUGAGGCACCUUGUCAGCGAUGGAGAGGAUUAAGAGCUGUCCUUCUUAGAACCCCAACUGUCGAGGAAUCAAGGCAAUGGCUCAUGGGUUGCACAUAGGAACUGAUAACGCAGGACCUCAAAACACGGCCUGUUCAUUCUGCAGCUGGGAUCAACCUUGUUUGUGCUGUAUGAUUUGAUUGUCACCUCCAAACCUCUCCACACCCAUGCAGAGAGCCUUCGGAGUCAGUCACCUUGGGUUCUUCUGUCUCCCUGCUCCCUCCUCCUUCCGUGUAAAAUCUUUGCUGGGAGGGAUGUCAUACUCACCUCACCUGAGUGAGUGUCUUGAUUUUCAGAGACUGUAUCUUCCAUUGUGAGUUUACAACGUUUUGGGGCAAGAAUUCAGAAAGCAAGGAAGAUGGAUCCCAGAGAAAACUUGAUCUGCUUUAUAAUUAAUCCAUCUGUUCAUUCCGCCCAUUUGUACAAUCAUUCAGCAAACCCAUCGUGAGCAUUCACUAUGCGCCAGGCACUGUUUGCCUCUGCAGGGAUGGCUCUGCCGGAACAACCCUCUCCAUGAUUCUGAAAAAAGGAAUUCGCCAGUCAUUCCAAUGCUAUUUUGGCAGCCAGUGUAUCAAGUGUCUCUGCCUGGGAUAUGGGAAACAUGAAGCCAUUCCAUCGA
rnacentral:lncRNA from 1 species